UUGGAACUUGUGAUCCUCCUGCCUCAGCCUCCUGAGCUGCUAGGAUUACAGGCAUGUACCACUACACCCAGCCAAAAAAAUAUUUUUAAGGCAAGUAGUUGCACCAGCAAUGAGUGAAAACACAUUGUCACUUAGGUUAUCACAGUAGCACAAGAGUUCCCUCUUUCCCUCACCUUGCUUUUUUUUUUCCCUUAUAGGUUUUUGCCUUGUUUGUUCUUUUUGUUUGGAUAACAAUACUGUGUUUAAAGUCCCUUACUAUCAUUGUAGUGGAGUUUCAGGCAGAGCAAAAAUACUCCUCCUCCUCUUAUCUCUGCUUCUCCUAUACUUGGGUUUCAUUCCCCUUUAGCAGGUCCAGAUUUCUUAUUAUGACAGCAGCAUGACCCCUGACUGAUCCAGAGAUUCAUCUUCCAUCCAACACUCAGAUUCCCUCCCUAGCCCCAAAUGCUAAAAUUCCAGAGAAGAUACUGAAUGUUCCAACUAACAUUGUAUGAACUUACUUGAGGACCUGGUCAAUGCUUAAGACUAGGGAAUAGUCCCAAAGACUUCCUUUACAGUGACUUGGCCAAAUCAGUAUGAUGGUGAUAGAUUUGAGAAAUAAAACUGAAAAGAUAAGGACUCAGUACCUUACUAUAACUGCUAAACUGUAAUGUUCAGCCUUUUCUAGUGAUAACAUAAGUGACAAUUUGGAAGCCCUAACAUUUAAAACUGCUCCCUUUCUGCCUCUUCUGCAUAAUCAUUUAUAUAGAUUUGCAUAUGUUAGACUGUGGUUUGUCUUCCUCUUCUGCAUCAGACUUAGGAUCUUUUAUUUUCUGCAAGAGGGCUUUCUUUUCACCCUUCUUAUUCUAAUCUAAAAUGACCAAGAAGAUUGUCUCAUUGAGACAUUCAAAGUCACAGAAUUUUAGGAUGUUAGAGGUAGAAGAGACUUUAAAGAUUUAUGAUUAUCACAAAAAUUUCCUUUGGCAUAAUAACUUCAUGAGUUGCUCCUUUGAAAUAAGGUCUUCAUGGUCAAAUAAGUUUGGUAAGUGCUCCAUACAACUGUGUUCCCUUCCUGGAGAUUCAGAGCAUCUUAGCCUGUUAAGAGUCUGAGAAGUCCAAUAGCAAAGAAAACUGACAAUUUCUUAAAUUUAUUUACUAAGGAACCCUUUUGUCAUCAUAAUCAUGUGAAGUAAUAAUGUUCCAUGGAACAUGCUUUGGGAAAGAAUCCUACCAUCUUAUUUUAAGAAUGAGGAAACUAAAGCUCAUGAAGAGACUGUGGUCAUGAUUUUCCAAAUCUAAGGCCAGGAAGAAUGAGCACUUUCAUCCCGUUGUUGCUGGUGACUUAUGUUGACCAAGUGCUAGAAGUCUUAUGUCUUCCCCACUCCUCCUUAUAUUUAAUUCACUCACUCAUCUGGAACAAAGUUUGUCAUAUUAUCCAAGUAGCUUAGAUAACCGGUAAGGAUUCAGAAACCAAGUCCCCGGGAUUUUCCCUGCACAGAUCAUGGCUAACAGAAGGCUUCUUCAGAUCCUGAAAACCAUAAUAUCUAAAAGGAAUACAAGACAGAUACCUCCUUUCAGGCAUUGACUGUCCAAAAGAAUGAAGGAGGAGGAGUAGGCCAGUGUUUGGGCCAGCCUUGGACCCAGGUGCCCUGACCUCUAGGACCUGCCAGCAACUCUUCAGAGAGCGGAUAUGGGAAACAGCCUGGUUUUUCUUUUGCCCUUCCUCAUGUUCCACCAUCUCUUGCCAAAAUCAUAGCCCAACCACAGAUUACAUCAUCCAGCAACUUCCCAUACUGUACACAUAACUGGAAAAAGCAGGGCACAGAAAGAAACCAAAAAGAGACCAAACACUUUUAGGGCUGCCAGUCUGGGAAAAACACAUUGGAACUUUUUCUCCUACCCUACAGCCUGACUUAAGACUUGUUUCUCCCUCAGAGAAUAAUUAUGCUGAUAAUCUGAUGGGCCUCUAGGUUGCAAAACCCUUGUAUCUUUGUUCCAUUCACUGGAAGGGAUGAGUCCUGACUAAGUAUACCCUCCUUGAGGUGACACAGGAUUAUCUCCCAGAUUGAUGCUCCAGAGACUGUUCCAGCUCAUUGCUCAUCAUCAUGUUUGGUUUGCUCAUGGCUAAUGUGGUCCAAAUAAAUGCCUUGGCCUCCAA